ensembl:antisense
AUAUGUAUUCAUCCUUUUCGUUUUCCCCAGCCUUGCUCUGAACUACCUCCACAUCCUGUGCUGCCCUACAGUCAUUCACACAGGACAUCAGGACAUUGCAUGGUCACCUUGCUGAGCUUCAGGGGAGCAUUCUCCUCUGUGAUUCCUGAGAGGUCAGCCCCAUUGUUGAAGAUCCGAGUGAUGCCCAGUGGACUCAUGAGUUUCUUCAAGUUAUAGUCUCCAUAGAUGAACAGUCUGGGGAUAUGGAUCUGGACUAACCUGGUGGGCAGGUACUUAGAGAUGAGCUCCUUGUUGAGAGUUUGCUCCAGAUGCUGCAUCUUCCCAUCAUCGGGCAGGAGGAAGACAGCAGUGGCGUUGCCCACGUAAUCCAUCAGCAGCACCCAGCUGGACAGCGUGCUGCAAUAGUACACGUCAAGCAUGCCCGAGAGGGUCAUCAUGGGCACCUUCACCGUGGUGGACUCGUCCACGUGGAACUCAGCUUCCUCAGUGUUCUCAGGAUCGAAUGGCUUCUUCCAUUUGCCUGAAGAGGGGAGAGUGAGAGCAGACCUUAGACAAUGAGGUGGUGACACAGCCGAUUGACUUUUCAUGUGCACUACUAGCCUUCUAGGCUGUCCAGGCACUUUGGUGAGGGUAACUCAGGACUCAAGGAGGACUUAGACUUUCCAGACCACAGAAGCUGAGAGCUACCAUCCCCGUGGUGCCUAGAAAAUAUCUUACAUAAUUGCUAUAUACUUUUAGAAAGGUGACUUGGGGUUCUUAUCAGGAGUGACACACUCAUUGGCAAUUCAGUCAUCACUAGGACAAAUGCUUUUUGGUACCUCAAGCCCCUUUCUACAUUCAAGGGUUCAGUGCAGAAGCCUAGCUGCUGUAUAAGACCACCACCAUCAAGAAUACUGGAGUAGGUGGGGACUUUGGGGACCAUCAACAAAUACCCAUCAGAAUGGCUUAGAGUCUCAGAGACAUAUCAAUAAGGCCACUAGAGUGGGAGAGGCUCCAGGGAACCUGUCACCAAGGUCAUUGGAGUGGACACAGGUCUCAGGGACCCAUCUCUGAAGCUGUCAGAGUGGGCUGGGUUCUCAGGGACCCAAGAUUAAGGCUGUCAGCAAGAAAAGGACAGCAGGAAUCCUAACUUCACCUUCCUUUUGGAUAGGAAUUGGUGAAUGGGUUGGGGUUGAGUUGACACCUACACUUGUCACAGAAGUGCUGGGACUUGAGCUGUGCUCGCCUGAUAGUCUCCUCCACAGGACUCUGUUGUUGGCAAGGGAGUCAUGAAGGCCAGAGCAGCUUCUGCUUUUGACUCCAAUUUCUGGAGAGUCUUGAACUAAUGACUUCCAGGCUGGAGGCCCUGCUUGGGAUGUUAGUUGAUCAGGUGCUUAUGUCAGUGCACUGGGUAACCUCCCUAAAUCUUUCAUUCCCCACGCAGUAGUCAGCUAGCUAGAUUCGAGCCAAUGUUUCCAGAGGUCAUAAUGGUGGUUUGCAACAGAGGGGCUGAUCAAGUACACUCCAUGGAAUGGUACUCUCUUCAGACCAUCACAACCAGGACAGUUGGUUCUGAAGCUGGGGAAGGAGUGCACAUUCUACAACUCUCCUUUGUAGGGGAGAUGAACAUUAGGACAACCAAGGCCCCAAUCAGUCCUUCAAAGAAGUCAGUGGACUUGAUGUUUGAAGCCAAUUCCUAAGCUUAAUUGAUAAUUUGAAAGAUGUCAGACACACAUCAUAGAGUAGGGAACGUGAUGGAGCAAUACCACAUCCUGGCGUGAGAGCUCAGAAACUGGUCCUCAAGAAUAUGUAUGGGUGUCUCCAUGGAGGCCAACUCAAGCUGGUUCUGCCACUUACCUUUAAAGAGAAUGUAAUUCGCCA